rnacentral:rRNA from 1 species
ACGAACGCUGGCGGCGUGCCUAAUACAUGCAAGUCGAACGGCUUUUCUAUGGAAGCUUGCUUCCACUGAGAAGAUAGUGGCGAACGGGUGAGUAACACGUGGGUAACCUGCCCAUAAGAGGGGGAUAACAUCCGGAAACGGGUGCUAAUACCGCAUAGUUUUCUUGAUCGCAUGAUUGAGAAAGGAAAGACGGCCUUUGUGCUGUCGCUUAUGGAUGGACCCGCGGCGUAUUAGUUAGUUGGUGAGGUAACGGCUCACCAAGACGAUGAUACGUAGCCGACCUGAGAGGGUGAUCGGCCACAUUGGGACUGAGACACGGCCCAAACUCCUACGGGAGGCAGCAGUAGGGAAUCUUCCGCAAUGGACGAAAGUCUGACGGAGCAACGCCGCGUGAGUGAAGAAAGGUUUUCGGAUCGUAAAACUCUGUUGUCAGAGAAGAACAAGUUGGAGAGUAACUGCUCCAGCCUUGACGGUAUCUGACCAGAAAGCCACGGCUAACUACGUGCCAGCCGCUGC